UCUCUUCAAUAAACAUUCGAC
ensembl:piRNA 21ur-14972 ncRNA